UACGGGGGGAGCAAGCGUUGUUCGGAUUUACUGGGCGUAAAGGGCGGGUAGGCGGCCACCGCAAGUCAGUUGUGAAAUCUCUGGGCUUAACCCAGAAAGGUCAACUGAUACUGCGGGGCUAGAGUGCAGAAGGGGCAACUGGAAUUCUCGGUGUAGCGGUGAAAUGCGUAGAUAUCGAGAGGAACACCUGCGGCGAAGGCGGGUUGCUGGGACGUUACUGACGCUGAGACGCGAAAGCGUGGGGAGCAAACAGG
rnacentral:rRNA from 1 species